UCCGAGUUGUCCCCGGCAGUCCCAUUAGAGUCCCCGACUUUACUCGCUGGCAACUAAUGGCAGGGGUUGCGCUCGUUGCGGCACUUAAGCCAACACCUCACGGCACGAGCUGACGACAGCCAUGCACCACCUGUAUACCGACCACAAGGGGGGCCGUAUCUCUACGGCUUUCCGGUAUAUGUCAAACCCAGGUAAGGUUCUUCGCGUUGCAUCGAAUUAAUCCACACGCUCCGCUGCUUGGAUUUCUCUAGCGAGACCGCUGUGCAAAACGCAGAGGAAGGUGGGGAUGACGUCAAGGUACGGAC
rnacentral:misc_RNA from 1 species